GUGUGUUUCGUUGGCACAUAUCCUAAAAUGGAAAUAGCACAGAGACAUGGCCAUUGCUCAAGAAUGACACACAAAUUUGUAAAGUCUUCAUAUUUUUA
ensembl:snRNA U6 U6 spliceosomal RNA